rnacentral:rRNA from 1 species
GCUUAGAGAGGGGUCAAUGUCCUAUCAGCUAGUUGGUAGGGUAAUGGCCUACCAAGGCUAAGACGGGUAGCCGGCCUGAGAGGGUGGUCGGCCACACUGGGACUGAGACACUGCCCAGACUCCUACGGGAGGCUGCAGUCGAGAAUCUUUCGCAAUGCCCGAAAGGGUGACGAAGCGACGCCGCGUGUGGGAAGAAGGCCUUCGGGUUGUAAACCACCGUCGGGAGUUAAGAAAUGUAAGGGUGUUAAUAGCAUCCUUACUUGACUAAGGCUCCGGAGGAAGCCACGGCUAACUCUGUGCCAGCAGCCGCGGUAAUACGGAGGCGGCAAGCGUUGUUCGGAAUUAUUGGGCGUAAAGAGCACGUAGGCGGCCUUGUAAGUCAGUUGUGAAAGCCUUCUGCUUAACGGAAGAACAGCAUCUGAUACUGCAAGGCUAGAGUACGGAAGGG